UACAUUUUUGUUUGAACAUCUGCUUUCAGUUCUUUUUGGUAUAUACCUAGGAGUGGAAUUGCUGGGUCAAGCGGUAAUUCUGUGCUUAACUUGAUGAACCACCGAACUGUUUUCCAUGGUGGCUGCACCUGCAUCAUUUUGCAUUCCCACCAGUGGUGAUGAAGCUUCCAAUUUCUCCCAGAUCAUGAUUUAACACUCAUUUUUAUUAAAUGCAACAACCCUUCCUGCAUCUGGCCUGAGUGUCCUGGGCCAGCCAACUGCUUGCUCUCCAUCUUUCCUGUUUGGUCAGAGGCCCUGGGUGCAGCCAGUGGGUUACGCACUCUGAUCCCCUCAGUGACUUCUCCUGGGAGGUCACCAAGGAUACUCAUUCAGUCAGGUCUUCCAGAGCCACAGUGUUGAUCCUGCAGUGAGGACAUGAGUGUGCAGUGACUGGACUCUCUCAGGCAGUCGUGGAAGCAGAGGAUUGCUCUGGCCAGCCUGGAGACAGUUCCCAUUGGUUCCUGGACUUGAUCUGAAUCAACUCCUUCUUCCUCACCAUCUCUUGCCUGGUGCUGCUGGCUGAGACGUUGCACCUGUGGGGGCUGUCCACUCCCAGCUCACGUCUUCUGGCAGCUCCUUACUCUAUUCUAAUGCGCCUAGUGGUACUGCCGAUUUUCUCUUUUCCCAGACACCUCUCUCCACACUCCUUCUCCCACAUUGGCCUGGCCCUCAUGGCUCUUUGAUCCUCAUGGAACAUUCUAUUGUCUCCUAGGUGAGAAGAAAAGGCAUCCCAGCUUAUAUUCAGACACAUGGCCUUGAACUCGUAAUAACUCACACAUGUAAGCCACAAUAACUUCAUUUGCAUGCAACCACCUUGAAUGAAUGGUCUCAGUAAAUGUGUCAUUUAUUCUCAAUAUUCUGGAGUGCUGGAAAAAAUGGGGAGUCAAAGGAUCCCUCAGUCUGCUGGUGUGACCUGGGGCACCCAUCCCUGUUCCCUCUCCUCUUACAUGGGAUAAAACCCCAGUGGAGCCGUGUCUCUGGAUCACUGUGAUGGAUUAGGUGUUCUGCUGAGAGCUGGGCUGUCUGCUUAGAAAUCAGCCUCCAGGCCUGACUUUUGGCCUCUGCCCCGCCUGUGGAGUCGGUGCGGGCUCCAGAUUCCAGAGGCGAAGGAUACAUCCUAGUGCCAGCUCAGAUCUGAAACAGGCGUGCCCUUCGUUUUCAGACAACUUCUGUAGCAGAUGAUAUGGUGUGCUCUCAGAUGCUGCUUCAGAGUGAAGGCACUCAUUCCCCGGCUGUCAGGAAGCUGACUGGUGAUGGGUCACAGAUUAAUAGUUUCCUUUGUAUUUCUUUUCCUCCUGGAUCAACCCUGUUCAACAGAAGUAUAUCAAGGCCACAUUUGUGAUUUAAACUUUUCUAGCAGCCAUGAAGGCAUGACUCAUUGGGGAUCAUCUUAGAAUCCUGCUUACCACACACGUUAAAAAAGGUUUAAAGAAGCAAAAUUAGUUUUAAAAAAAUGCGUUGUUAUUAUUUUAUAGAGACAGGGUCUCACUAUGUUUCCUAGGCUGGUCUCAAACUCCUGGGCUCAAGCAAUCCUCCUGCCUCAGCUUCCCAAAGUGCUGAGAUACAGUGUGAGCUACUGCAUCAGGCUCCAGAUUAAUUUUAACAAUACAUUUUACUGGAUCUAAUAUAACCAGAAUAUUAUCAUUUCAAAAUAUAUUUGGAGUAAAAAUGAUUAUGGAUAUAUAUAUAGAGAGAGUGUAUUUUGAAAGCCAGUGUGUGUUUUAUACUUAGAGCACGUCUCAGUUCGCACCAGCCACAUUUCAAGGGUUUGACAGCCACGUGUACUAGUAGUGGCUGCUGCACUACACGGUGCACUUCUAGAGGGUUCAAAGUUUCCAUUAAAAUUGUAUUCUAGGACACCAGCCAAAAUGGCAAAUAAGGAUCUCCGAAAAUUCCCUCCUCCAUAAAAGCAACAAGAACAUUAUCAAAAAAUGUCAGAAUCAACGUUUUCAGAACUUUGGAAAUUAACCAAAGGCUUGCAGCAAUCUGGGAAACAUUUAUUUAAGAAAACAGCAGAAUCUUGGUAAGAACAGGGAGCUUUGUGGCACUUUAACUUGCCGUAUUCCCAUCCCCACCCUCCCCAGCACCACAUUAGCUGUGAAAUCCAACAGCCUGCAAAACGACCUGUGACCACAGGGGAAAGUCCGGCAGUCACUGGAAGGGCUUAGAGCUCCUCAAGGCCCAUUCUCGGAGAAUUGUCAUUAUUUGACCUCUCUGGUCACACUACUUGCAAGGCUGUUUUUAUUUGAGCUGACUUAGAGCUCAUCCAGCACAAAUAAAAGCAGCCUUGAGAGUAGGGUCAAUUAUUGAACCUCACAGCUGACUGAGGUAGUGGAUAACAAGUGGGAUAGACAAUGUGCUAACCAAAAAACAUAAAAGAAAAAGCAGAGGAAUGGGAUGUCCUUGGAGAGAGUGGGCGCUUUAAAAAGUUCUAACAAUAUUCCUGGGAAUAUAGAAAGCCAUACAAAUGUUUAGGGCUGUGUGGACACCCAGUGCUGUGUGUGUGCCCAGGAAAUAUCCAAGAAGACCCUGGCUCUCACCUCUGGCCAACCUUGAGCCUCUGCUGAAGCAGGAAGUGAAGGCUAAGAUGGAGCUGUAAGGUGCUUGGCUGAAUGCUGAAGGAAACACACGCAGAACUUCUUGGUAAAGACUGAGAGUCUUAUUGGUUCCAGUCAUCUAAGGAAGUCUUUGUUGAAUCAUUAAAUGACCACUAAGCUAACUGGUCGAGACUCACUGGCCACACAAAACAAAGAAUAUACCUUUAUAGAAUUAGUUCAGGAAAGUCACCAACCAUCCAACCAAACAAUACCAAUUAAAUAGUAACAACAACAAACCCAGGGCAAAAUCUGAUUUCCAGAGUUGCUAUGUUAUAUUGUUUUAAAAGUCUAGUUUUUACCAAAAAUUAUGAAACACGCCAAGAAACAAGAGAGUCUGUCUCAUAUGCAGGGAAAAAGACACUCAAUAGAAACUGUCCCCAAGAGGGCACAGACACUGGAUUUUCUAUACAAAGACUUAAAUCAACUAUGUUAAAUAUGUUUUAAAAACCCUAAAAAACUAAAGGAAACCGUGGCUAUACAGGGAAAAAUGUCUCAUAUACAGAAACUCCUAAGGAAUCCACAAAACACAAGAUCAAUAUACAAAAAUCAAUUUUGUUUCCGUAAGCUAGCAGUGAACAACACAAAAAUGAAAUUAAGAAAAACAAUUCCACUUAGUAUCCAAAAAUGUUUAGGAAUAAAUUUAAUGAAAGAAGUGUAAGACUUUUAACUGAAAACUCUCAAACAUUGGUGAAAGAAAUUAAAGAAGACCUACAUAAAUGGAAAGACAUUCCUGUGUUCAUGGACUGGAAAAUGGCAAUUUUCUCCAAAUUGAAAUCACUAUAAAAAUUCCAGAUGCUGGGCUUUUUUUUUGUUUUGUUUUGUUUUAGAAAUUGAGAAGCUGAUUCUAAAAUUCAUAUAUAAAUUCAAGGGAUCCACAAUAGCUAAAACAAUCCUGAAAAAGAAUAACAAAAUUGGAGGACUCACAUUUCCCAGUUUCAAAACAUAAGCUACAGUAAUCAAGACUGUGUGGUUCUGACCUAAGGAUAGACAUAGACAAUGGAAUAGAAUUAAAAGUCCAGAAAUAAACCCAUAUAUUUAUAGUCAAUUGAUUUUCAACAAUAGUGCCAGGACAUUCAAUGGGGGGAAAAUAGUCUUUUCAACAACUGGUGCUGAGAUAACUGGAUAUCCACAUGCACAAAAGAAGAAAUUGGAUCCCUUACCUUACACCAUAUACAAAAUUUAACUCAAAAUGGAUCAAAGACUUUGCUGUAAGACUCUUAGGAGAGAGCAUAGAUGUAAAUAAUCAUUACCUUUAAUUAAGCAAGUUUCUUGGCUAUGACACUAAAAGCAUAAGCAAUCAAAGAAAAAAUAGAUAAAUUGGACUUCAUCAAAAUUUUAAAAAUCUGUGCUUCAAAGUACACGAUCAAGAAAGGAAAAAGACAAGUCACAGAGUGGGAGGAAAUAUUGUUGAAUCACAUGUCUGAUAAGGGUCUAGUAUCCAGAAUAUAUUGUUGGGGCUCAGAAAACAUUACCCCCAAAUAGGACACUUUGACAUGAAGCAACCUCGAGGUCUCUCUGACCUCCCUGGUCCCUGCACCCGACUAUUCCUCUGUCUCUCUCAAAGCACAGAAUGUAGUUGUUCACUGAAAUUCCCUUAUCUACCUAGACACUGAACCUACUAAAGAGAAACACAAUUGCCUUCCCUGAAAUUUAACUAGAGAAGAAUAAACUCAUAACACAGAGGAAGAGAUUGAAAAUUAAACACCAGACAAACUUUGUCCCAAACCACUGUCUUCUCUCUGUCCCAUUCAAUUUCCAAAGAAAACUAUUUACUAACCAUUGUCUGAGCAUUAGACCCAUUCAUUUCCCCUAAAAAUCAUUUACUAUCCCUCAAAUCAGCCACAUUUCCCCAUGUUCUUUUUCCCUAUGAAGAAGAAUAUAUAAGCAUGUGUAUCCCUUUGGGUUACUGGGUAAUUAUUCUCCUGCAAUUCCAAUGUGAUGUGUUAAAAUAAAUCUGUAUGCUUUUUUCUUCUAUUAA